GUUACCGGCCAAAGGGCGUGGGUCCCACCCGAACCCAUUCCGAACUCGGAAGUUAAACCACGCUCCGUCCACGGCGUGUAGUGAUGUCUUCGGCUUCGCAAAACCGUGAAAGCUGGUGGCC
rnacentral:rRNA from 1 species